CUUGAACGCUGGCGGCAUGCCUAACACAUGCAAGUCGAGCGAAGCGGCGGACGGGUGAGUAAUGCCUAGGAAUCUGCCUGGUAGUGGGGGAUAACGUCCGGUAACGGGCGCUAAUACCGCAUACUAUCAGAUGAGCCUAGGUCGGAUUAGCUCGUUGGUGGGGUAAAGGCCUACAAAGGCGACGAUCCGUAACUGCUCUGAGAGGAUGAUCAGUCACACUGGAACUGAGACACGGUCCAGACUCCUACGGGAGGCAGCAGUGGGGAAUAUUGGACAAUGGGCGAAAGCCUGAUCCAGCCAUGCCGCGUGUGUGAAGAAGGUCGUCGGAUUGUAAAGCACUGUAAGUUGGGAAGCGUUACCAACAGAAUAAGCACCGGCUAACUUCGUGCCAGCAGCCGCGGUAAUAC
rnacentral:rRNA from 1 species